GCCAGCAUAGUAUAGUGGUUUGAGUGUUAGACUACAACUCCGGAGUCCAGCGUUCAAUUCCCAGCUCAGCCA